AUUGAACGCUGGCGGCAGGCCUAACACAUGCAAGUCGAACGGUAACAGGAAACAGCUUGCUGUUUCGCUGACGAGUGGCGGACGGGUGAGUAAUGUCUGGGAAACUGCCUGAUGGAGGGGGAUAACUACUGGAAACGGUAGCUAAUACCGCAUAACGUCGCAAGACCAAAGAGGGGGACCUUCGGGCCUCUUGCCAUCGGAUGUGCCCAGAUGGGAUUAGCUAGUAGGUGGGGUAACGGCUCACCUAGGCGACGAUCCCUAGCUGGUCUGGGAGGAUGACCAGCCACACUGGAACUGCGACACGGUCCAGACUCCUACGGGAGGCAGCAGUGGGGAAUAUUGCACAAUGGGCGCAAGCCUGAUGCAGCCAUGCCGCGUGUAUGAAGAAGGCCUUCGGGUUGUAAAGUACUUUCAGCGGGGAGGAAGGGAGUAAAGUUAAUACCUUUGCUCAUUGACGUUACCCGCAGAAGAAGCACCGGCUAACUCCGUGCCAGCCGCCGCAGUAA
rnacentral:rRNA from 1 species